GUGACUCCUACGGGAGGCAGCAGUGGGGAAUAUUGCACAAUGGGGGAAACCCUGAUGCAGCCAUGCCGCGUGUGUGAAGAAGGCCUUCGGGUUGUAAAGCACUUUCAGUAGGGAGGAAGGUAGUGUAGUUAACACCUGCACUAUUUGACGUUACCUACAGAAGAAGCACCGGCUAACUCCGUGCCAGCAGCCGCGGUAAUACGGAGGGUGCGAGCGUUAAUCGGAAUUACUGGGCGUAAAGCGCAUGCAGGCGGCCUGUUAAGUCAGAUGUGAAAGCCCGGGGCUUAACCUCGGAAUUGCAUUUGAAACUGGCAGGCUAGAGUCUUGUAGAGGGGGUAGAAUUUCAGGUGUAGCGGUGAAAUGCGUAGAGAUCUGAAGGAAUACCAGUGGCGAAGGCGGCCCCCUGGACAAAGACUGACGCUCAGAUGCGAAAGCGUGGGGAGCAAACAGGAUUAGAUACCCUUGGAG
rnacentral:rRNA from 1 species